UACAGAGGCCUCGAGCGUUAGGCGGAAUCACUGGGCUUAAAGCGUGUGUAGGCGGACUUCUAAGUACCUUGUGAAAUCCCACGGCUCACCCGUGGAACUGCUUGGUAUACUGGGUUGUCUUGAGCCUUCUAGGGGCGAGUGGAACAAAUGGUGGAGCGGUGAAAUGCGUAGAGAUCGGCAGGAACACCCAGGGGGAAACCAGCCGACUGGGCAUCUGCUGACGCUGAGGUGCGAGAGCGUGGGGAGCGAACCGG
rnacentral:rRNA from 1 species